GAACUAAACAGAGAACAUUUCUUUCAUUACUCCGAUGAAGAAUAAAAGAGAGUAACGGUGACAUAGCGAAAGUACUACCAUUCCGAUCUUGAGAGAAUCACACUUGAACUGAGCAUAAAGGUUUGUCUCGAUCCCACGACCCUGAAUAGAAUAAAGCCAAGACUAGUUAAGUAGUUGUUAAAAUCGCGCUUCACUUUCACACUGUAAUGGCCUUACCAUGCCUUCUAGGAUGACUAAGUCUGCAUCAGAUGAAAGGUAAGCAAGCUCAUGUGAUACUCUUGAGAGAUCGAUAACCUGAAACAAAUUUCGAGAAGAAGAAGAAAAAAAACCUUAAGAAUCUAAUGAAUAAAUCUAUGUUUCUCUCUGGGAGCUUCUAAUGUCUUACCGCUAAAUCGUUCCCUGAAUUUGCAAUCAGAAGCUUUGAAGUAUCAACGCCUAUCAAUUGGCCAUUUCCAUCCUUCAACUGGUAGACUAAGAUUACUAAUCAGAUUCACUUUUCUUUGAAUUAUUUAAUAUCAAGAAUUACUAUAUUCAUUACCUGCGACACAAUAUCUGUAAGCUCGGUAUAUGUUACAUCGUUGAUAGCUGGCAGCUCGUUAGCAGCCAGCACCACCUUCAAGAAGAAAGAUGAAGAGGAAGAACAAUUUAGAGUAACCAGAAGCUCACUCAAGAGACGGUGACAAAAAGACAUAGUCAUUGCCAAAAGUACCUACCUGAGUUCCUCGACGGAGCAGCUCUCUUGCAAACGGCAAAAUACCCAAAAUUAUGUCUGCACCAGAAUUAUCAACAAAUAUCACUGCCUGCCAUGAAAAAGAGAAUACAAACAAUUAAUUUUGUCAAGCGGUUAACCUCUGAAGUCUGAACAUAGCAUUAGAUAAAGAAGAAAACAGACGACUGACCUUCUUCCAAGGCUUCUUGAUCCAUUUGGCUUGGAAGUUGUCCAAGUCAUCAAUGACCCAUGGUCGUGGAACCAAGUUUUGACAUGUAGCCAAGAAAGAUAUGCCAUCCUUUGAGAAAGCCUCAGCAAGCUUCAAUAUGCGAAAAGAAAAGAGCCCGUAAUUAGGACAAGCUUUCCUGUGGGAGCUGAAGAAACCAGGGUUGUUAAGUAAUAGAAUACCUGUGCAGAACCUAGAUCAAAGAUGUUUCCAGCAAAUAUCCCUCUCACCAAAUUCUCUAACCGUUUUCCGUCAUCUUCAAUAGCAUCACUCAGACUGACAACUUCAGGAAAUAGUGAUAUAGCCUUUGCAUUCUCUUCAUCCUAUUUCAAUUUCAUCAAUGAAUGUGAACUCAUCUAAUCAGAGAGAGAGAAAGAGUAUCUUAAAACCUCAAGAGCCCUUGAAAAGAAAUUCAAACCUUAACUUUCUUGAAUAUGUCCUUAAAUCCAAACUCUCUGAGUAAAUGCUCACGAACUCGGCCAAGCAUCUGAAAACAAGCCCGAAUAAUCCAUGACAACAAAGCUCACUACACCAGAGACAAAAGAUCAUGAGGUGUUUUGGACUUACAAUGCCAUCUGGUGGCCCGCCAUUGCUCUCUGGAUCUUUCUUCCAAUCUUCAAGAAUUCCCGCAUAUCUUCCAGAUUCAAAGUAAGACAUAUUAAACCGCAGGACACAAAACUCGUCUAGUUUAUGAAGUGACAUUGCCAAAACAUUUCUUACAAACCCUUGAGAAUUACCACAUUCAUACGCAAAAAAAAUGUACCUUUCUGCAAAUAUUUUAGCUCUGGCAGGAGCAUCUGGAACAGUGAUAUCGCUCUCUGCUCGUUUCCUGCAAAUGAGACACCUUUAAAACAUGGAGAAUUAUGGAAUAUUUCUUGUUAAAAUCAGGAUUUCAACUGUUGCCUAUAAUCUUCCAGAUUCAAGCUCAAAGAUAAAAAUUCAUGAUAACACAUCAAAGUCAAAGCAACAACUAGCAAGACAACAGUAACUAACUUCACGCGUUCCAAUUCAAGCAAACCAUUUGGAUAUGAGCCUAAAAGGAGAAAUUUUUUGGUAACAAAAUCAAAAAACUUGAUUCGACCCAUGAACAGUAUCUGAAUCUGGUCAUAGUAAAGAGAAACCAAAUUUGGAAGAGAGAGAGAGAAUGAACUUGAAAGAAGGGAUGGAAUUAGCGAAGACGUUGAUCCACGAGAUUUCAGUAGGAGUGGCUUUCUUGAGAUUAUCACAAGGGAAUCUAUAAGGAAUGGUGCAGGCUCUGUAGUUGGUUUCAAUCGGCGUUGGUAACAGAGGAAACGGAAUCAUCUCCGAAUUGUUAACGACGAAGAACGAGUGUCUAUAGAGCCGGGUCGGGUACGGGUCAGUGUUCGGAUUGUAUUUAGCACUUUAAAUAGUAGCCAAGUUCCAAACUUUGUGAUGAUUGCAUCUCUCGGCACACUAGCUAAAAGCCACUCUGCGUUUUUAAAAAACUCUGCUAAUGUUUUGCCAUUAGAAGUUCCGGUAUGCAAGAUUUCACAGUUGAGAUAAGCUAAUGUUUGAAUAAAAUCCACUGGCUAUAACUUUGUUAUGUAGAUUCAAGUCAAAGAGAGAAUACGGAAAAAAUGAAGCAAGACAUAUGGAUGUUGUUACUUAUGUUCCACGAGAAGGACAUAAGUAGAGAAAUUAUGGAAAUAGGCAAAAGGUACCACAGUAUGUAAGUUUUAGCUGGAACCUGGCUCACCCGACUGUCUAUCAGCUUGAACACAAGCAAGAGCACGGGUUUGUCGUACAGACACUAUCUUUUACUUCUUCCUUUUAUGUUCUGAAACUCCUUAGACUUAAACCUGCUACUGCGUGCUGGUUUUUCCAAAGGACCAAGCUGCUAGAACAGGAGAGGGCACUCUAGGAGUUCACGGUAAGUGCUGUUAUCUUCAUACCCCAAACAUUUGUCUAUUAUCAACAAACCAAAAAUCACAGUUCAUCACUCAUGCAUCCUCACAUCUUUACCUGGUCAUCUUUGGUUCUCUCCAUACCAUACGAUGCUUGCACAUUCAAGCUAAACCACCUGAAAAUAUACUUAGCAACAAAAGAAUAUGGAAAGACAUGUCCCCGUGUUGCCAUUGUGUUUCCUACAAACAUUUAUACUAAAUAAACUACAUCCAUCAUUCAGAAAGGCCUCAACUUCUACAUGUCAGUAUGAAGAAACGCAUAUAUGAUUUGACCAAAACAGAGAAGGAAGCACAGUGAAUGAUCAUAGAACUCGGUUUGCUAAAUAUACAUACUUUCUUCAUUGAAACUAAAUAGAUAAACCAAGCAUAAUUCAACAAGUGCCUUUCCACUUUAUCCAUCAUAAGCGAAAAACAAAGCUUUUUCUUAUUGAAUUACCAUAUCAAGAUGGAAAGGAGCAUAAAGUAUUACUCUUUGUAUCCUAUGUUUUGAACCCGAUUCAGUAAAAAAUCACAGUAGGGGAGAAGUGAGACUGGCGAUUACUGAAAUAUAAUUAGCUCUGAACUUCAUUGUAUUUGAAGACACAGUCAUAAAGCCGUCCUCCGAGAAACUCUGCUACUUCAAGAUGCUUCACCUGCAUAACAAAAGGAUGGAACAUGAGAAAUCAGAAAUAAGCAAUAAACACAUAACAUUUCUUUUCAUUAAUCUGAUGAAGAAAAAAAGAGAGUAACGUGACAUGGUGAAACUACUACCAUUCCGAUCUUGAGAGAAUCACACUUGAACUGAGCAUAAAGGUUUGUCUCAAUUCCACGACCCUGAUUAGAACAGCCAAGAAGUCAGUUAACAAAAAAACCAAGACUAGUUAAAUAGUUAACUCACGUUU
rnacentral:lncRNA from 1 species